rnacentral:rRNA from 1 species
GAUGAACGCUAGCUACAGGCUUAACACAUGCAAGUCGAGGGGAAACGCCAUUGAAGCUUGCUUCGAUGGUCGUCGACCGGCGCACGGGUGAGUAACGCGUAUCCAACCUGCCUCUGACCAAGGGAUAACCCGUCGAAAGUCGGCCUAAUACCUUAUGCAGUCGUCGGAAGUCAUCUGAUGACGACGAAAGAUUUCAUCGGUGAGAGAUGGGGAUGCGUCUGAUUAGCUUGUUGGCGGGGUAACGGCCCACCAAGGCAACGAUCAGUAGGGGUUCUGAGAGGAAGGUCCCCCAAAUUGGAACCGGGACCCGGUCCAAACUCCUACGGGAGGCAGCAGUGAGGAAUAUUGGUCAAUGGGCGAGAGCCUGAACCAGCCAAGUAGCGUGCAGGAUGACGGCCCUAUGGGUUGUAAACUGCUUUUAUGCGGGGAUAAAGUGAGGGACGUGUCCUUCAUUGCAGGUACCGCAUGAAUAAGGACCGGCUAAUUCCGUG